UGCUGGGUGCUAGGCAACUGGCCAGGAAGCACAUACUGGCCUCGUCUCCUGGGGCCCCGCCAGGCAUUGCGCAGCUCAGAUCUGGAGCUCUUUGUGUGGAUGAGUUUCCAUUUUGUUACACUCCCCACCUGGUUUGCUUGUGGGGCUACAGGAGGCGACAGUGGCUGUCGACCCCAGGCAGUGGGGCAGGAAGCAGCUGUGGCACCAGGGGAGGCUGGUGGGUCUCCCAUCUCCCGUUCCUGCGGGGUCCUUGCCCUGCUGGUGCUUCUCACUCCUCCCCCUGCAGGCAUCCUUCUCCCAUAAAUCCAGAUGCUCUGGGGCCAUGUUCUUUGUCUUCUUCACGGCCAGCCUUCUCGAGCCAAAAAGUGUUGAAACUGGGAUUUUGGCAAACCUGAAUCUGGGCUGGUUCAGCGCUUCAGCUGACUCCGCCGUUUAUGGGCUGCCUCCUCUGCACGACUGCCGAGCCACCUGGUUAUCUCACUUAUCACCCAGACCAACCCUGUGACACAGAGAUCCUAGCUCUUCUUUUGUAGACCAGGAGACUGAAGCUCAGGUAGCCUAAGAGACUGGUUCAAGGUCUUAAGCAGCCGAGCUGUCUUUAAACCCAGGUCUCCCUCAUCCCAGAUGCU